AGCUCAAUAGAUUUUUCUUUAGACUUGGCCAUUUUUCUUAAGAAAAUCGUAGAACUACAAUUAUUUUGCAACAAGUAAAACUUGUAACAAGCCAAAGGACUUCAAGUACAUUUAGGAAAGGAGAAAAUAGCACACAUAAACUAUUUAUUCGUUCUUACACACUGAUGCGAGUAGGUAGGUAAAUACACACGACACGUCCACAUAUGACUCAUGACGGCUCAGCGGCACUUAUUUAUGGCUAACUCAGUAGCUAGCUCUACUACUAGUGCAUCAGUUCACGACUAGUGGCGCGUCGACGCGUCGGCCACCGAUCAGGCGGUCGCCGAGCCGCAUGAAGCGCAGUUGCAGGCCGCGCCGCAGGAGCAGUUGGCCCUCCUGUUCGCCCGCCCGGACGGCGUCCCCUCGCGCCCGCACGCGCACGGGUUGCACCCACAGUGCUCGCCGCACCCGCACGUCGUGUGCUCCCCCGCCGCCGCGCCGCUCCUCGCCGAGGUGCACCUGCAGCCCGUGCCGCCGGGGCACGGCACGGCGCACCCGCACUUGUCGUCGCAG
rnacentral:lncRNA from 1 species